GGGCAGCGAGCCAUACAGCUGCGCCACCUUGCUACCCCAUCUGGAGGCCUGCACCCAAGCCGGGCCGACAUCACGGUGUGCAGCACUGCGUAGUGUUACGUGGGUGUUGUUGAGGAUAACAGUGGCAGGCGGUGCUGUGGAUCCGAGGCUCAUCCUGACAGAUUACCGCGCGCUCAGUGAAUGGGUGCAGUGGAGUCACAUAAUUUGUACGAUUGGAGCAUGAGCAUGUGGGGCCUCCAUACACACCGUCACAGCCAAGGCGAUUAGUUUCCGGGUGAUACAUUCCGUAAAACGUUCCCACCCAAUUUUUAGUCAUGUGCAGCCGUAAGGGGAGCACGAUGGUGAGAAAAUCAAAGAUGAAGAGGGAAAAAUAAACACAGAGGAAUGAUGGAAAGGGAGACUAGAGUUAGUGAGAAAUCCUAACUGUAAAAUUAUAAUAUAUAAGUGCUCGCGAAAGAAUUUGGAAAAAAAUGUUAGUAGAAAAUGGGUAGGAAUACGUGACGAAAAUAUGAGGAGAGAGUGAGACAAUAAAAAGUUAACAAAAUAAAGAAAGACAAAGUGUGUCUGCGAGAGAGAGAGAGAGAGAG